rnacentral:rRNA from 1 species
UGGGGGAUAUUGCACAAUGGGCGAAAGCCUGAUGCAGCGACGCCGCGUGGGGGAUGAAGGCUUUCGGGUUGUAAACCUCUUUCGCUAUCGAACAAGGCCCGCUUAGGGUGGGUUGAGGGUAGGUGGAGAAGAAGCGCCGGCUAACUACGUGCCAGCAGCCGCGGUAAUACGUAGGGCGCGAGCGUUGUCCGGAAUUAUUGGGCGUAAAGGGUUUGUAGGCGGCUUGUUGCGCCUGCUGUGAAAACGCGGGGCUUAACUUCGCGCGUGCAGUGGGUACGGGCAGGCUUGAGUGUGGUAGGGGAGACUGGAAUUCCAGGUGUAGCGGUGGAAUGCGCAGAUAUCUGGAGGAACACCGAUGGAGAAGGCAGGUCACUGGGCCAUUACUGACGCUGAGGAGCGAAAGCAUGGGUAGCGAACAGG